rnacentral:lncRNA from 1 species
AAAAGAUUAUAAGAUUUGCCAAUUAUAACAGACAUCGCUUAUAUAUACAAAGCAUGUAUAUGAACUAGAUGGCUUCUCUUACAGUGAGUGCAGUGCAAGACAACGCUAAGUGCAGAUGUUGGGAUUUGGCAUUUGUUGUUAAUGUCUUCCUCAGUUUUAUGCUUAUUUGUUUCCUUCUGUCGUAUUUUGGGCUGGCUGGUUUUGACCCCC